rnacentral:sRNA from 1 species
AUGUACCACUUGUACACUCCGGUUCUGCGAGCGACGCCCUCACUCACCUGGCGGCCGCUCGCUACGUUUUGUUAACC